GACAGACGCCUUGCUGAGGUUAUGAAUUGUCUAACCACAGCGUUCUGAUCUCCAGACCACAUUUGAGAGAAGCCAACACUCGGGAAUGAGACUCUGGCCUGUGAUCAGUGCUGGGCUGAAGCCUGGGCUCUGGAGGGCCUCUCCUGCAGCCCAUGCCAUGGGCACUUCUCCCUGGAGCACCUCGGAGGUGGACAUGGCUUGCCCUACAAGCUUUAUGAGUGCAGUUCUUCUCUCUUCACCUGGCCGGUGAGAGACCUUCCAGAUGUGCAAAUCUAGCCAAAAAAGUCAGUUUGUAUAAAAUUCCAAGGCAACUAUCUUCC